UUAUAUUAUUGCAUGACCUGCGACUCGUUACUAAAUACCGGUUACUUGACUGACGAGUAUAUCGAGUUGGCAGCCUUGCUUUGACAACAACAUAUAACUCACAAUAAUGCACUAGAUUGGAGCAGCUGAUGACAGCUACAACGGGCACCCAACGAAACGAGAGCAACAUCAUCAGCGAUAUCAACAGCGACGACAGCAACAGCAACAACAACAUCAGCUGUACAAACAUAAAUUUUUAGACAAAUUCGGGGUGGGGGGCUGACGACUGACUACGGAAGACGGUCGCCAAAAAGACACGGAAGUGUUUUCUCACCAGAAACUUGAUUGAAAACCACCUUCGGUGCGUAUUAAGCCAUGGCCGAUGCUGCUGGUGGUGGCAUGCCCGAAAAUGCGGCCGAAAUAGCCGUGGCGAAUGCAAUCAAUAACAUCAACGGCCGCAAUCGUGUGCUCGCUGGCGGAGUGCCUGCCGGCGGGUUAGGAGUAGGCGGAGGUGUUGGCCAAAACAACAUGAUGAACAUGCGGGAUCGUCUAUUUCAUGCCAUUUACUUUCGUGUAGCAGCCACCUAUGCAGAGUUAGUGCCACGCAAGAUUCAAAUGGCAAUUGAGUUUCUGCUGCUGCUGAAGGCUUUGGUGUUCUUCUUCACUUUGGUUUACAUACACACGGCAUUUAUAAAGAAUCCCUGCACCUGCCUGCAGGAUGUGCAGAAUUGGCCACGCGAUGGCGUUAUCCGUGUGGAAAUAAUACCACACUUGGCCGAGAAGCGUGCCAUAUGGCAGCGCAUUAAGUCCGAUCAGCAGCUGGUGCUGGCGCUUAAGCAUACUUACUACUAUGGCAUUGGACCGCAAACACUGGACAAUCACAACAGGCUGAAGCGCUACGAGACGAUACUACGCAAACUGGGCUUGCCGGUGCGACCCAAUUUCGCCUAUGGCAACGAGAGUCUGUACUACUAUUUCGAUGCUGUCAAUAUACUGGAUAGCUACGAGCAUCCCAGCGCUAUACCGCUCAAGGCUGAUGACGAUGAUGAUGAGCAAUACAUUGUUGAGUAUUCGCUGGAGUACGGCCACCUGCGUCUCUCCGCCGACACACGCAAAAGAUUGAACAUACCCGUGCUGACUGUGCAGCUGGACCCCAAUUCGAAUCCCUGCUUUGGCGAUAGACUGACGCGCUACCUGCUCAAGCGUUUGCUGGGCUAUGAUGACUUGCUAAUGGCUUCGGUGCGCACUGUGGCCGAGAAGGAGGACAACAAGGGCUACCUGCGUAACGUGAUUACGGGCGAGCACUAUCGUUUCGUGUCCAUGUGGUGGGCUGCCUGGAGCAGCUAUCCAGCUGCAUUCUUGGUCAUGUUGCUCUUUACGUUUUCGGUGUCCAUGCUGUUGCGCUACUCGCAUCAUCAGAUCUUUGUGUUUAUAGUGGAUCUGCUGCAAAUGCUGGAGUACAAUGUCUCGGCCCGCUUCCCCAUCGCGCCCCUACUGACGGUCAUACUGGCGCUCGUAGGCAUGGAGGCCAUCAUGUCGGAGUUCUUCAAUGAUACAACAACUGCUUUCUAUAUAAUAUUGAUUGUCUGGAUCGCGGAUCAAUUUGAUGCCAUCUGCUGCCACACGACCAUUACGAAACGCCAUUGGCUCAGAUUCUUCUACCUAUAUCAUUAUGCCUUCUAUGCGUAUCACUAUCGCUUCAGUGGACAAUAUCGUAGUCUGGCCCUGCUCUCGUCGUAUCUCUUCAUUCAGCACUCAAUGGUAUUCUUCUUCCAUCGGUACGAGCUGCCCGCCAUUAUGGCACAGCGUCAUGUCUUCAUCAUCACGCGAAAUCAAGCAAAUGCAGCAGCUGCUGCUGCUGCUGUCGCCGGCGGCGGAGGAGGCGGUGGUGGUGGUGUUGGUGGUGCUGCUGCUGCUCCAGCUCCCGCUGUAGCUGGUCAACAGGCGGCGCUGCAACGUGCCCGGGUCAUUGUGAUGCGACUCUAUAGACAAUUGGCUGCACAGCGUCAGGGCCAGGCAGCUGGAAACGGAGCAGCCGGAGCCGGAAUGGGUGCGGCUGGAGGUGGAGGCGGCGCUGCUGCUGCACCGGCCAUACACAACAAUCCCAGCGCUGCACUGGCGAAUGCUUUGGGUAAUUUGAGGCGGCUACCGUUGGUGGGGCAGUGGUUGCAUGGACGCGACCAGUUUGCCACAGAGCGACGGGUAUUCCUUGGCCGCGGCCAUGGACACGGCCAGAUGAUGCAUGUGCGGCUGCAGCGCAUCAAUAUGGCCGACAUACCGGGACUGCAGACGCGCGCUGCUGCGGCCGUGGCAGCAGCCAAUGCUGCCGCGGUGGCUGCGCAGGCAGCAGCCCAGGCGGCAGCAACAGCUGCCCAGGCGGCGGCAGCAGCAGCAGCAGCAACAGCAACAACAACGGCAACCGAUACAACAACAAAUGAAGGUAACUAAGUAAAUGAUUGGGCACGAUUUGUGCCCGGUUGUGUUCACUUCAUUGCACUCAAUUGGCGUCGGCUUUAAAUCGCUUUUGGGGCAACAGUCUAAUGCCACAAAUAACUGUGACGCUCCGUACCCAACGAGUGUGCAAUCAGCCGGAAGAUAAAUUUAAAUAUUUCGUUUCAACUGCACUCGAAAACGCAGUCACCAAACAACAACAACAACAGCAACAGCAAACAAACAAAAAAUGUAACCAAAAUGAAAACGUGGCAAAUUCGAAAGGGAACACAGCAAAAACAAAAACAAAAAAUGCCGAAAGUAAAUGUACACAAAUCUCUGAUAGUCUCGCGUGUGUGCAAACAAGUUUGCGGCGGAUUAAAUACCCUGUGAUACGAUUAUCUCUCUCCCUCUCUCUGAAGCUGCUUCUCAAGCGUAAUUUGCCUAGAAGAAAAUGGAUUUUAAAUUUUGAGUACUGUCUUUCUGUUUUAAUUUGAUUUAAAAUUUGCGUUUUUAUAUUUAUAAUUUGUAAAUAAUAAUGCCUUUCUGAAUUUUAUUGUAUUUCUUUUAUUAUUAUUUAUAUUGAUAUUUUCAUAGUAGAGCGAUUAUUAGUCAAAAUUAGAGAAAUAAAAUUGGAUUUUUUUUACAAGUAUUUAUCGCACUUUUAAAACUUCAUUUUCACAACAUUGAAUUAAAUCUAUUAAUGAAAACCCAUAUUAAUAAUGUUUGCUUAAUUUUUGAAUUUUAAGAUUAGAAAAUAAAUUCAAGUUUUCUGCAAGGCCAACUGUUUCUUUACGUAAUUUGUAAAAAAAAAUAAAAGUAAAUAAUGUAUAAUCUAAAAUGCGAAAUUCACAAAAGUUAAAACUUAAAUAUUUAUAUACAUAUGAUCUGUUAUCUAAAAUCCGUAAUUUUUACUCUGAAAUCUAUAUUCUUAAAUCAUCCAUAACGUACAAGUAUGUGUAGCCACUGCAUCAAAAAUGCACAAAGAUUUCGGACUAAUAUCCACUGUAGUUUAUCCCGAAUAUAUUUAUGCCAUUGCAUAUUGAGUGCCCAACAGGAUUAUACCCAAUUUGGCAAUGUUUCUUUUGUUUUUUUUUUUUUUUUUUUUUUCAUCGGCUAUCGUCAGGGUAUAAAAAGGAGUGGCAAUAAAUGUCAAAGAGGCGUCGCACUCGCACAUAAAACGUAGUCAAUAUUAACGAUAUAAAAUAUAAAUGCGAAGCGAGUGUGUGGGCUGCUCAGUCGACCGACCGACCAAUUUGCCAACCCAGCAGAGCUCCCCCUCUCUGCCUCUGGCUACCUUCUUUAUGUGUUUACAAUAAUAUGAAAUUAUUUCUCAAUUCGCUGGCAAAAUAAAUACAAAAAAAAGAAAUGGAAGACGAAGAGGAAGACGAAGAAGAAGAAGAAGAAGAGGGAGAAGUAGUAAAGUAUUCAGUGAAACGAAUGUUUUGUAAAUUAUGUCGAAUCAAAUCAUGGACAAGGACGAAACCAAGAGCCGGCAACAGCAGCACCAACAGCAGCAA